CGGUGCUCACGCAGAUCUCGAGAGUUGAGGGCUGCAACGUCGAGCACAAGCAAAGAAAAAAAAGAAGGGUGCAGUCAGCGGAACAACGAACCGUAAAGACAGGGCACAUCGGCUCCAUCUAUGCUGCACCUCUGUAAUACUCCGUUUGUAUACCACGAAAGUGUACUGUGAAAAACGAACGAUGGUGACAUCGCCGAAGCUGCUUCUUGGGGGCUUGCACAAGAUCAGCGACCGCAGCGUAUUCUUUACUCCACUUAAGAAGGAUCAUCUCGACUUGACAACCCUUAGCAUCGCUCCCCCGUCGCACCGCGGCGUACUCCAGCGCAACGGUUUGGUGGCAAAAGCGUUCAUUGGCGUGACGUUUUACGACGCGCGCACUUCCGCCGCGCACCCGUCGUCGCUUACAUCACCAGCACGCCACAUGUGCGAAUCCGACGCAACCGAUUCGGCGGAGCACCGCAAACUCUCCGCUGCGAAGCGAGAGGAUCUGUGGCGUGCUGCGUUGGUGUACGGCGGCCUGCUGCACGACAAGUGGGAUGCAUUGGCGACUCCAGAGGAGCUCGCGGCGACGCCGUGGCCAGUGCACACCGAAAUGCAGUACGCCGAACUGAUGGAGGAGUUAAUUGCGCGGAAGGCCUGUACCACGGCAAACACGUCGAGCUUCUGUGUGCCUGUCUUGUCCAUUGACGAGUUCGUUUACAAGCACAAAGGGGUGCGAGUGUGCCUCGGCGUGGCCUGGAUGCCACGCUACUCGCACAACCUGCGAGAGUGGGCGGCAACAUUUGCGCAGUCUGGUCACUGCGUGCCAGAGGCGUCGCUCCUGGCGCUUCUGCAUCACGUGACCACGGGCGCACUCGCGCUGCGCACGGCUACCUGCACAGCGGCCAAAAAGGAUGCGACGCUCUCUUUGUCCGUCACUCUGGAGAAGGUGCUUGUGUACCGAGCUUCGGAGGCGGAAAAAAAGAUCGCGAAGGAGGCCGACCCAGACGAAACGGGGGAAGGGCUAACAUUUGCGUUAGCCACUGGUGCGUUCAGGUGGCGGCGCGCAGAGCCGCAUGUUGACGAGAGCAUUUGGACGAACGUGCCGACACGCUCCCGCAUCAGAGCUCUCACAAAUCACCUGAUCGUCCCCGAGGAGGGGCAGCUGUUGUACUGCACGCCUGAGGAUCGCUCGCCGAGGCUAUACCCGACGCACGGCAGCGCGGCCGCAAAGCAAGAUGUCUGGACUCUUGGCGUCGUCCUCUACCUCCUCGCCUCUGGUGUUGCCGGCACAGACCAUAUCGCCACCACCUCUCCGCCGGACCGUGUCCCUCGGCUUGCACCCUUGCGCGAGUUGACGCCGCUCAACUCAGCGGCGCUCACUCCAGACUCUCUCUGGAAGCGCCUGCGGCGGGAGCUGGAGCGCCGCGGCUACAGCAGCACAAUCGUGACCGUGGUCGCACAGCUCCUCUCGCUUGACCCGCUUACGCGACCGUCGCUGGACACAAUGGACCGCAUGCUGCAGGACCUGCAUCGGCCGACCCCUGUGUGUCGCUUCCCGUUCGCUCUGGGCUCGUACGACCUGCUGCGGAUGCCGAACCCUACUGACAUUCACCUGAACCCCGGUGCACGGCGGUACACCAUGGAGGGAGUGUGCGUCUUGUGCAAAAAGCACCGCGGCAGUACGCCCCUGUGUGGCAAGGAUGGCGAUCACGCCCCGGGCUUUUCAUCGCCGUCGUGGUCUGACGAGGAGCUGCUGCCGCAGCUGCACGGCAUGGACUUGCACUAUAUAACCUUUCUCUACCCCCUUUGCGGGUCCAGCGAUGAGCGUCGGCGGCGCAAGCAAGCGGCACUCGCUUUGCGAAGCUGCCACGACGGCAUCAACGCCAGCAGCAGCAUCGCCCGAGACGCCACACCGCUGCUGGACUGCACGAUGCUGUUUCAGGUGUUCGGCGGCUUCGCCGUAUACGAACGGGUGCCGGAGCUGAACGCGACGGGUCAGGUCUUCCACCGCGUCACCGUGAAGGAGGUGCUAGUGCCGUACCCGAGCCAGGGGCUGCGUCGCUCGGAGUUGCCUCUGGUGAAGCUGACGAUCGAUUUCAGCGGCGGCCUCCCGUGGCCUUCCUGCUGCACGGAAACUCUCCAGAAGAGCGGCCGGGUCUCCCGCAACGUGCCGUUCGGCUUCACGGGGGCUCACCACGACGUGAAGUGUUUUGGCUGGGUGCUACCUGGCGAGCGCUUCAGCCUGCCAAACGGGGGUCAUUGGACGGCGCCGCACGAUGGCUCUUUCGUGUUCUGGUUCCAUUCGGACCUGCGACCAACGGAUCGAGACCGCUACUUUGCCUUGACGAGUAUGCGCGCAGCGACGCUGCCGGCAAAGUUGCCGCGCACCGUGAUGCCCGAUUCGCUCUUUCGGAUGCACGCCGGGGACCAGAGACACGCCAGCAAUCUUCUGCCAAGUCGCAUAGGGAGCGGUAACCGAGCGGAUUCUCGCCUGGGACGGGGCUGCAUAGCCCACCGCCGCUCGUGCCAAAGCGUGACAGACAUCGCCUUGCCAUCAGCGACGCACGAGAUUGUGGAGGCAGACGAGAAGGUGAGGACCCUUGUGACGCAUAGGCCGCUUUCUCUCUCCGCGCCGCGUGUGCAGAACACUCAGGAGGAGUCGCCGGUCCAUGGGCGACGUCGGUGGAGCAGCGCAAAGGACAGGGUGCCGUCUCGCCACUCCUCCGCUUUUCCCGCGGAGGUUGUCGGCGCCCUCGAAGCACCCGAUGAGGCGCGAAAGAGUCCUGGUACCGCGCGUGCGCCGUCGACGCUUCGCUCCGUGGGAGAGACACGGAGCAGUGGCGUAGUCCUCACACCUCAGCUACAUGUGCCGGAUCUUCUUCUUGAUAUGCCGACGCCAGACACGCACGCCAGUGCUGACCAUGAGAGCCCAAAAUCACCGGGCUGGGAGAGGGCCAGCGACCAAGCGCGCCUGUCAGAGCGCAACCCCACCCAGUCACCCGUGGAUGGCAACACCACGGCGAAGCGCACACAAGCCCUGGCCGCUCCUGAGAAGAGCAUCUCUCCCGCCGCGUCGCAGUCCCUCAGUUCCGGGCGGAAGAAGGCCCGCAAGUUACGUGACGCGACGGUCUCGUCAGAGGAGUUUUGUGGUGGUGCAGCGCUGCAGUUUGUGGCGUCCGCACCGGCAAGUGUCGGCGCCGAGCAUCCGAUUGUAAGUACGGUGGUGCCGGCGCAGUCGGUGCUGACCGGGCAAAGCAGCGUCCUUGGAGGCUCACCACGGCUCUUGAAGCUGCGCCCUGUCUCUCAGCAUGGGGCCAAGAAGCAGAGCAUCCAGGCAACCGCGUCGUCGGCCACGUCAAUGUUGCCACCGAUUGUGGACGCCCUGCCUGCGGGGCUCGGCGAACUGCAUGUGUGCGGGCUGUGGUUGCCAAGCGAAGCAGUGGACGCGGCGUUUCGUUCUCUGACCUUCUGCAUCCUCUCCACCGGUGAACAUGGCUACAUGCACCCACCAGUGAAGAUGUCGGCGCGGGUGGCGCAUGCCAUCCGUGCCCCGCCGGGUGCCGAAUUCUUGGCCUUCCUGUCAAACCAGGUGCCGCUGUUUCGUCGUAAUCACCCGCGGCUGGAGAGGGCGGGUGUGUCGCUGAUGCUACCGCACCACGGGUUCACGUGCUACGCUGCGGGCGGCACCCUUUUGGGGGUGCUGGGGCUGCGGUGUAGCACCAAGGGCGGCCCAGACGUGAUGGCUGGCGAGUUUGAGCUCAUGAUGCGCACCAGCGCGGCAUUUCGCGGCAGCAGCGCUGCUUCGUGGACUGUAUAUGCGUCUCACCUCUCGGAGAGCGUAGGGGUUGAAGCGCACGUGAGGCGGGCCGCCGCCAAUGCCGUCAAAGCAAGAAACGACUGCGAGGACGAGGACAGGCGGGCAAGCACUCUGCGUCACGUGCCCUCCUUGCUGCGCCGUGCGUCGGGCAGUCGAAAUAUGUUUGCCAACACCCCAGAAAAUCAGACACUCACCUUUACGAGUGCCCGUCAUCUCGUGGGCGAGUUCACACCAGACGAAAGCGGCGACGUUUUGCGGUCUCGCGAGGGAGAGGGUGAGGCGGCGCUACCAGCGUGCUGGAUCAGCUUUGACGGUGUGUCCACCGCGCUCCUGUUUGCAGACGCACCGCAGUCUGUCUGGGUGCCGUACAGGAUCGGCGGUUAGUUGUACGCAACGAUGGCGCCAGCGCCACGCUCCUCGUCCUUUUCGAUUUUUUUUUGUCUUUCGUUGCCUGUCUGUAUGCUGCCCGCUGAAUCGCGUCCCCCUUCGUCUCCACACCUUUUUUUUUAUUUUUCUGAUGACUUGUCAUGCUGGGGUCACUGCUGGGGUGUCGCAAGCAGUUGUUUGGGGAUGAGGGGCACCGAGGUGGAUCCUCUGAACCUCUUUCUGCGUCUAUGUUGCCUCCAUGUUGUCUCUCGCUUGUUCGUUGCUGUUGUUUGCGCUCACGCAGGCAACCCCUCGUCCGCCCCCGCCCCACCCAAAUCUCCACGCACAUUUAGAAACCACCCCCUCCUGUGCACGUGUUUGCGUGUGUGGCUCGUGUGCUCUCUUGCCCGGUUCGUCCUUGCUUCAUACCGCGCACACGUGUUCUCUUCGAUUGUAGCCCUUCAUGAUUCUCCGCCUCAACUACGCCGACUCCCAUCGAGUUUCGCUCUCUCGCAUGCACCUAAACGCCUUUUUUUUGGUUAUGAACGCAUCCGUUCGCGCCUGCCUGUCGGUGCAUCUGGUGCUCUCUGGCCCGGUGACGGAGCGAGCGGCGGAGAGCACAUCAAGUACAUAGACUCAUAGAACUUUGCCUGCAUGCCGUUCUCGUUAAGAACGACGACUCUCCCCCCACCACCCCCGAUGCCUCUCAUCCGUAUCGCGUCCAUCACAGGAGCCUUUUUGCAUGUCUGUUGCACCCGCUGCUUGCACGCAUUUUUUAGACUCUCCAUUUUUUCGUGUGCUUUUCGCUCGGCGUGUGCGGUGCGAUUCCACUCAAAAGGAGCGCAAAGAAGAGUGCUGCUGCUGUUGCUGCUGCCGCCCUUCUUCUCCUCCUUCACGGGCGCCACCUUUUGCCCCCGGUGUUCUCCUUCCCACUUUCUCCCUUAUGCUUUUUGACCGUCUCGCAAAAAAGUGAUUAUUCCUUUUGGGGGGGCAUCACUCGCCGGUCUGUGUCGCUCUUUCCGCUUACUUCCUUUUUGCCCACCCCCCACAGCGAUGCGCGGGCGGAGGAGGCAACCUGCACGUACAUCACAAUUAGCUUCGGUCGCUCACAACGGCGCCGUGUGUUGCGUGCGCUCGCCCAAACCGACAGAGAAACCGACCUGCAGAGACACAUGCCAGCACUCGCGUGCAGCUUGAACACAAGGGCACACAUACAUGCAUCCGUACGUAAUGGCGGGGCCGUGUGCUGACGCCUGGUUCCCCGAACACGGAACAUACACAGCUUCCCGCCCGUCCUCCUGCGCUUUCUACAUCAUUCUUGUGUUGAGACACGUGCGCAUGUGUAGGUGUUUAUGUGUGUUUUGACUUCCAGUCGCUCUGUGUGCUGGACGUGAGCGUGCACGUGGGACACCGCAUAAGAAGGAUAGAAAAAGCACAGACUCCUCUUGUCUGGACCGUUGUUCAGCUCGUGGUGCAUUCUUUUUUUUUUUUUUGCUUUAUGUUCUCUCUUUUUUUCUUCUGCUCCCCUUCUUUAGCACGGCUGUCCUUGCUACUGUACUCAUCCCUCUGUAGGCCUUCAUCUCCUAUCCCUCCCCCCUGAACCCACCCCCCAAUGCCAGCGCCUCUUUGCCGAAGCAGGCGUUCUCACUUGAUUGUUUCCUCUUCCCCCCCCCACUCUCUCCCGCGCUUCUUUGUGGCCUCGCACACUCUCUCGCUUGGAUCCUCGGUAUG
rnacentral:misc_RNA from 1 species